ACUGGUUAUCUGCACCAUUCCGAUCCCAUUUUAUCACUGUCAAAUGUUAAAGGAUGUCUCCAUCCUUUUUAAAUGUUUGGAUGCUUACCUCCAAUUAACAAACCAAGGACAAACCUUGGUAAUUCAGACAAAUCAGAAAUAUGAGUAUCCCAUUGGGAAAUUGCAUGAAGUCAAGGUUUAUUGUACAACACCAGUUUCUGAUUUUGAAUGACAAGUUUAUUUGGACAGUGCUGUGAUUUUUCUGGGAUCCUCAGUUGACUCAGCCUUUUAACCAGUCAACCGCAUGUGAAUAAGAUGACGCUAAUGGUCUACAUGGGACAUUUCGUCUUGGGAACAUCCAAAGUAGACGUGAAGGCAAGUUCUAGCAAGGUGACUCGGUCGGGCUCAAACUCCAUCCCUCCCAAUGACCCCACGCUCCCACUGGACGAGUGCAGUUGAUAAAGCACGUAAAGAUCAGCUGCCCCUUGGCCUUUAUAGAUUAACGAAUAUGAGCUGUCAGCACCUCUCAUCUACAUUCCCAAUGAUUUACGUCAAGUUUAAUGAGCCUGCCAGGGCCAGAUAACACACUCACACUGACUUCUGGGUCUGCUAUAUGCAUUAUGCACACUGUCCAUUCUAGCAUCUUAAAAACUGCUAUUAUAAUAAAAUUAUAACUUUAUAUUUUGUAGGACACUACAUUUUUAAAUGAGAGCAUCUGUUAUAUGUACUACAUGUAAAUUUUGAGGCUUUGCAAUAUGCAGAGAACCUGAAAAUCCAGUGAAGCCCUUUGUUUACAUAGUAUUUCAAGUAGCUUCUGAACAAAUCCAGAGAUCAUAUCAUAUCACCGAGUGAAGAUCAUCCAUGCAGCUGGACAAAUGCCUUGAAUAUUUUUGUUUAUCGUUAAUUACAGCUGUGUUUAAUGUGACAUGUCUUAGCACAAAGUGUAUCACAGUGCUGACUGAUAAAGACUUGGCUCAGAGGACUUAGCCAAAGCUUAGCCCUUGAUCCAGAGUCAUGAGCAGGUCGGAACAGUCUGGACAUGCAUGAAGGUCGAAUGAUCUGGUCCAGGAAUAAUAUCAGACUUCCUCUAGACAAAUGCAGGUUUUCACAGCCCACUGAUUCUUGAGACGAGGCAAAACGGUUCACCUGCCAUUUGUGAAUAUUUACUUUGAAAUUAAUCUGAGAUUAUUCUUAACACAAAGCACCAUUUUAUUUAGUACUUGAUAUUAUGAUGUUAUCCUUCUCUUUUAAACCACCUGUCCUCAGAGCUUAAUUCAAUGCUUCACA